CCAUGCCGCGUGAGUGAUGAAGGCCCUAGGGUCGUAAAGCUCUUUCGCCAGGGAUGAUAAUGACAGUACCUGGUAAAGAAACCCCGGCUAACUCCGUGCCAGCAGCCGCGGUAAUACGGAGGGGGUUAGCGUUGUUCGGAAUUACUGGGCGUAAAGCGCGCGUAGGCGGACUGGAAAGUUGGGGGUGAAAUCCCAGGGCUCAACCCUGGAACUGCCUCCAAAACUAUCAGUCUAGAGUUCGAGAGAGGUGAGUGGAAUUCCGAGUGUAGAGGUGAAAUUCGUAGAUAUUCGGAGGAACACCAGUGGCGAAGGCGGCUCACUGGCUCGAUACUGACGCUGAGGUGCGAAAGUGUGGGGAGCAAACAGGAUUAGAUACCCUGGUAGUCCACACCGUAAACGAUGAAUGCCAGUCGUCGGGUAGCAUGCUAUUCGGUGACACACCUAACGGAUUAAGCAUUCCGCCUGGGGAGUACGGUCGCAAGAUUA
rnacentral:rRNA from 1 species